GUGGGAGUGCCGGAGUGGUCAAACGGGAUGGCCUCAAAAGCCAUUGGCUUAGUGCCUACCAAGGUUCGAACCCUUGCUCCCACACCA
rnacentral:tRNA from 1 species